ACUACCCUUGUGUUAUGAACCCUCUAACCCGCACCACUAAUCGUGGUGGGAGACAGUGUCAGAUGGGCAGUUUGACUGGGGCGGUCGCCUCCUAAAAGGUAACGGAGGCGCCCAAAGGUUCCCUCAGAAUGGUUGGAAAUCAUUCGAAGAGUGUAAAGGCAGAAGGGAGCUUGACUGCGAGACCUACAAGUCGAGCAGGGACGAAAGUCGGGCUUAGUGAUCCGGUGGUUCCGCAUGGAAGGGCCAUCGCUCAACGGAUAAAAGCUACCCUGGGGAUAACAGGCUUAUCUCCCCCAAGAGUCCACAUCGACGGGGAGGUUUGG
rnacentral:rRNA from 1 species